CAGUGGGGAAUAUUGGGCAAUGGGCGCAAGCCUGACCCAGCAAUGCCGCGUGGGUGAAGAAGGUCUUCGGAUUGUAAAGCCCUUUCGACGGGGACGAUGAUGACGGUACCCGUAGAAGAAGCCCCGGCUAACUUCGUGCCAGCAGCCGCGGUAAUACGAAGGGGGCUAGCGUUGCUCGGAAUUACUGGGCGUAAAGGGCGCGUAGGCGGCUCUGUCAGUCAGGCGUGAAAUUCCUGGGCUCAACCUGGGGACUGCGCUUGUGACUGCAAGGCUAGAGUAUGGCAGAGGGGGGUGGAAUUCCACGUGUAGCAGUGAAAUGCGUAGAGAUGUGGAGGAACACCAAUGGCGAAGGCAGCCCCCUGGGCCAAUACUGACGCUGAGGCACGAAAGCGUGGGGAGCAAACA
rnacentral:rRNA from 1 species